UGAUGUGUCUGAACUGGCUGGUUAUAAGGUAUCCCAUUCCUCCCUCACCACUCCACGUACGUGCCUCCUCAAGCUGUGUGCUCAGCAGAAGAAGAUGACCAUCCCAGACAGAAGGAGAAUUAGGCCAUUUCUGCAUUCUUAUUGUUUGGACCAGUUUAACUAUUCCACUCCAAUCUGUCCUGAACCAAGUACAGCAGGUCCAGUCUGCAUUG
rnacentral:sRNA from 1 species